UGGGGAAUUUUGCACAAUGGGGGAAACCCUGAUGCAGCGACGCCGCGUGAUUUAGAAGGCGUUCGGGUUGUAAAAAUCUUUUCUAUGGGAAGAAAAUGACAGUACCAUAGGAAUAAGGACCGGCUAAUUACGUGCCAGCAGCCGCGGUAAUACGUAAGGUCCGAGCGUUGUCCGGAAUCAUUGGGCGUAAAGGGUACGUAGGCGGGUAAGCAAGUUAGAAGUGAAAUCCUAUAGCGCGACUAUAGUAAGCUUUUAAAACUGCUCAGCUUGAGGUAUGGAAGGGAAAGUGGAAUUCCUAUUGUAGCGGUGAAAUGCGAAGAUAUUAGGAGGAAUACCGGUGGCGAAGGCGACUUUCUGGCCAUAACCUGACACUGAGGUACGAAAGCGUAGGUAGCAAAGAGG
rnacentral:rRNA from 1 species